UUUUUGUUUUUUUUUUUUUUUGAGACAGAGCCUUGCUCUGUUGCCCAGCCUGGAGUGCAGUGGCGCGAUCUCGGUUUACUGCAAGCUCCACCUCCCAAGUUCACGCCACUCUCCUGCCUCAGCCUCCUGAGUCGCUGGGUUAUAGGCAUGUGCCACCACACCCGGCUAAUUUUUUUGUUAUUUUUUAGUAGCGACGUGGUUUCACUGUGUGAGCCAUGAUGGUCUCGAUCUCCUGACCUUGUGAUCCACUUGCCUCGGCCUCCCAAAGUGCUGAGAUUACAGGUGUGAGCCACCACACCUGGCCGCAUCUUGUUUUCUUUAUUAAUUAUUUGUAUGUCUGAAAGUCUAGAUAUAUAUUUGUCUUCAGGAAAGGAAAGGUACCAAUAGGAAAUUUUGAGUAAGCCAGAGUAUUCUAGUAAAUGUAGGAAUUAUGCCAAGAAGAGCCAGAAUUGCUCAGCACUAGUGAUAACCUGGUGAAUAGAAAGACCAUCAACUAUGUGUUCCAAAAAUGAUGUCAGCACUGCAAGAGGAGAGCUGACUGCGUAGGCUCAUCCUCAUUUCUCAAGAGAGUGUGCCUCUAAAUGACCUACCAAUUAGAAGUAGAUGAUAAUGAAGCAAAAUGAUGUAAAUCAAGAUCUGAAGACAUUUAUGGCCAAGACUUGAUAAAUACAGAAUUGGAGAAAGGAGACAGGAAACACCAGAGGAGAACAGCAAGGACUGUAGUUGUUUGUUUUUUGUUGUUGUUGUUGUUGUUGUUGUUUUUGUUUUGUUUUGUUUUGUUUUGUUUUUACUGUGGAUAAGCCCAACUGCAUACUGUGGCGUUGAAUCUUGGCCAGGCAAUAGUUUGAUUGCUGAUUUCCUUAAAAGGGAAGGAUUCUUGUGUAGGAUUAAAGUAAAAGUAAUUCCAUGACAACUUGUUACUGAGGAAGACAGCCAAAUACAUAUUUCAUGAGUUUCGAACAGUCAUUUUGGUGGAAUUUGGUGUGUUAUGUAAGGCUUGGUGCUAGAUUAAUGCCCAGGUAACCACUUGGGGGACAAUCAGUGUAGCCCUGUGAAAGAUACAAAGUAUUGCCUGCCUAAGUCUCAGUUUCUUCGUCUGUAAAAUGUGUGUUUAAGCGGAGCUGUGAGACAAUGAGAAUAUAUAUAAGGUGCUUGGCACUUAAUAGUUGUUCAGUUUCUCUCUCUUGAGCAUCCUCGAAGCUCCUUUUAUUCAUUUCUUUGAUGUUGAAUGAAAGAGAAUAAAUUUUGACUGAGCGAUGAGCUUCAUUUUUUGAAGGUGCUGAUUCUUACCCCAUUUUCAGCUACAUUGACUGUAUUGUUAGCCACUUGUUACCCAUCUAGUGGAGCCAUCUUCUAUAGUGCAGUGUGUGUUAGUAGGAAAGGCUUAUUUGGCCUUGAAGGGCUUAUUUGGCCUUGAUUGUGGUUUGAGGUUGAGAAUAUUAAGGAUGAAUAAUAGCUGGAAUGGUCCAUGAUGUGUGCUUAGCAUCCUUCAGAAUGUUUACGUAGUAAUAUUUAGAUUGCUUCUGAGCACAAGAGAAUACAGAACAAAAUGUUAUGUUCC
rnacentral:lncRNA from 1 species